rnacentral:rRNA from 1 species
UACGUAGGGUGCGAGCGUUGUUCGGAAUUACUGGGCGUAAAGGGCUCGUAGGCGGCCAACUAAGUCAGACGUGAAAUCCCUCGGCUUAACCGGGGAACUGCAUCUGAUACUGGAUGGCUUGAGUUCGGGAGAGGGAUGCGGAAUUCCAGGUGUAGCGGUGAAAUGCGUAGAUAUCUGGAGGAACACCGGUGGCGAAGGCGGCAUCCUGGACCGACACUGACGCUGAGGAGCGAAAGCCAGGGGAGCAAACGGG